UACGGAGGGAGCUAGCGUUGUUCGGAAUUACUGGGCGUAAAGCGCACGUAGGCGGCUUUUUAAGUCAGGGGUGAAAUCCCGGGGCUCAACCCCGGAACUGCCCUUGAAACUGGAGAGCUAGAAUCUUGGAGAGGCGAGUGGAAUUCCGAGUGUAGAGGUGAAAUUCGUAGAUAUUCGGAGGAACACCAGUGGCGAAGGCGGCUCACUGGUCCAUUACUGACGCUGAGGUGCGAAAGCGUGGGGAGCGAACAGG
rnacentral:rRNA from 1 species